GCACUCGCGGGCGCGACACGCGGUUUAGCCCUCCGGAGGCAGGUGUCGCAGGUUCGAAUCCUGCCGAGGGCA
rnacentral:tRNA from 1 species